AAAAAUUGAAUAUAUGAAGUUCUUUAAUAUGCUGAAUUUAACCAUGUACUUAGAUUUUUGAUUAUGGGCCCAGUUUUUAAGUUGGUCCAAAUCGGGGUUCAAAAUUAAACUUUGUUUGAAUUUAACAAAAAUUGAAUAUAUGAGGUUCUUCAAUAUGCUGAAUUUAACCAUGUAUUUAGAUUUUUAAUAUUUGGGCCCGGUUAUCAAAUUGGUCCACAUUGAGGUCUAAAGGGUCUAGAAUUGAACAUUAUUUAAUUUUAUCAAAAAUUGAAAUCUUGGGGUUCUAUGAUAUGCUGAAUCAAACCAUGCAUUUAGAUUUUGGAUAUUGAACCAUAAUAGGUAAAUGUCCAAUUUAAUUUUUUUUUAAGUUUUUAUACGACCGCAAAUUUUGAAAAAAUUUUCGUCGUAUAUUGCUAUCACGUUGGCGUCGGCGUCGUCGUCGUCGUCCGGCGUCCGAAUACUUUUAGUUUUCGCACUCUAACUGUAGUAAAAGUGAAUAGAAAUCUAUGAAAUUUUAACACAAGGUUUAUGACCAUAAAAGGAAGGUUGGUAUUGAUUUUGGGAGUUUUGGUCACAACAUUUUAGGAAUUAGGGGCCAAAAAGGGCCCAAAUAAGCAUUUUCUUGGUUUUCGCACCAUAACUUUAGUUUAAGUUAAUAGAAAUCUAUGAAAUUUUGACACAAGGUUUAUGACCACAAAAGAAAGAUUGGGAUUGAUUUUGGGAGUUUUGGUUUCAAUAGUUUAGGAAUAAGGGGCCAAUAAAGGGCCCAAAUAAGCAUUUUUCUUGGUUUUUGCACAAUAACCUUAGGUUAAGUAAAUAGAAAUCUAUGAAAUUUAAACACAAUGUUUAUGACCACAAAAGGAAGGUUGGUAUUGAUUUUGGGAGUUUAUGACCCAACAGUUUAGGAAUUAGGG
rnacentral:lncRNA from 1 species